rnacentral:rRNA from 1 species
AUUGAACGCUGGCGGCAUGCCUUACACAUGCAAGUCGAACGGCAGCGCGGGAGCAAUCCUGGCGGCGAGUGGCGAACGGGUGAGUAAUAUAUCGGAACGUGCCCAGUAGUGGGGGAUAGCCCGGCGAAAGCCGGAUUAAUACCGCAUACGACCUACGGGUGAAAGGGGGGAUCGCAAGACCUCUCGCUAUUGGAGCGGCC